AGUGGCGAACGGGUGAGUAACACGUGAGAACCUGCCUCGGAGACCGGGACAACCAUUGGAAACGAUGGCUAAUACCGGAUGUCAUCGCAUGAUGAAAGAUCCGUCGCUCCGGGAGGGUCUCGCGGCCUAUCAGCUUGUUGGUGAGGUAAUGGCUCACCAAGGCAUCGACGGGUAGCUGGUCUGAGAGGACGAUCAGCCACACUGGGACUGAGACACGGCCCAGACUCCUACGGGAGGCAGCAGUAGGGAAUCUUGCACAAUGGGCGAAAGCCUGAUGCAGCGACGCCGCGUGGGGGAUGAAGGCCUUCGGGUUGUAAACCCCUUUCAGUAGGGACGAAAAUGACGGUACCUACAGAAGAAGCUCCGGCCAACUACGUGCCAGCAGCCGCGGUAACACGUAGGGAGCAAGCGUUGUCCGGAUUUAUUGGGCGUAAAGAGCUCGUAGGUGGUUCGGUAAGUCGGAUGUGAAAACUCAAGGCUCAACCUUGAGACGCCAUCCGAUACUGCUGGACUUGAGUUCGGUAGAGGAGUGUGGAAUUCCUGGUGUAGCGGUGAAAUGCGCAGAUAUCAGGAGGAACACCAACAGCGAAAGCAGCACUCUGGGCCGAUACUGACACUGAGGAGCGAAGCAUGGGGAGCAAACAGGAUUAGAUACCCUGUUAGUCAAUGCCGA
rnacentral:rRNA from 1 species